GACGUCACGACGUCACGAUGUCACGACGUCAUGAUGUCACGACGUCACGAUGGCAUGACGUCACGACGUCACGAUGUCACGAUGUC
rnacentral:miRNA from 14 species